rnacentral:ncRNA from 1 species
GAAAAAACUAUGAAGGGAAGAGUAGGCUUAACAUUCUAAUUAUAGAGAGCCAGGACUGGUGGAAACUGGUAUUAGAGGUUGAGCUGAAGAUGGCCCCUGAGUUGAAUAGCUGAAAGUUAAGUAGGCUAUUACGGGUUUGUAUCCGUUAAGAAUACAAGGUUAUUAUUGUAACCUAGUGAGGCAUAAGUCGUGAGGCUUGUGUAAAUUAGGGUGGUAACGCGAGUAAAUCCUUCGCCCCUAUA